AUGGACCUAAAAAUCUUCAUCAUGGACCUAAAAAUCUUCAUGGACCCAAAAAUCUUCAUCAUGGACCUAAAAAUCUUCAGCAUGGACCUAAAAAUUUCCUUUAUGGACCCCAAAAUCUUCAUUUUGGACCCCAAAAUCUUCAUCAUGGACCCCAAAAUCUUCAUCAUGGACCUAAAAAUCUUCAUGGACCCAAAAAUCUCCUUUAUGGACCCAAAAAUCUUCAUCAUGGACCCCAAAAUCUUCAUCAUGGACCUAAAAAUUUCCUUUAUGGACCCCAAAAUCUUCAUUUUGGACCCCAAAAUCUUCAUCAUGGACCUAAAAAUCAUCAUGGACCCAAAAAAUCUCCUUUAUGGACCCCAAAAUCUUCAUCAUGGACCCCAAAAUCUUCGCACGAUCCCCGCGGACCCAAAAAUCGCCGCUACGGCGUCACCUCCAAGCGUCUUCCCCUUGACCACCUGCUGUGGGGCGACCACCGGUCCGGUGACCUUGGCCUGUUUGGUCAGGUACCACCCCCAACCCGUCAGCGUCACCUGGAGAGGGGCCGCCGCCGCCGAUGAUGUCACCUUCCCCGCCGUUCGUGACUCAAUCGCUGACCUCAACUUGGUCGUCAGUCGCCUUCGUCUGCCCCACGGGACCCACCGGGACGGUUACACCUGCAGCGUCAACCACCCCCCGACCAGCACCAGCCUCACCAAGGAGGUCAAAGUGUGCGAAGCUUCAUCGACGCCCAUCCCUCCUGAGGUCCAAGUCUUCUACACCUCCUCCUGCUCCUCCUCCACGGGUGACGAAUCGGUGGAGCUCGUCUGCCUCAUCUCCGGCUUCACCCCGGCCACCGUUGAGGUGGAAUGGUUGGUGGACGGUAUCUCGGGUCUUCUGACGGCCACCCAGACGAGACCGUGCCAGGAGGACGGAGCCACCACCUUCUCCACCAGCAGCCGUACCAACGUCAGCCGCUUUGACUGGUUGGAGGGGAAGACCUUCACCUGUCAGGUCAAACAUCCGGCCACCAGGGUGGUCACCCAAGGUCACGCCCGUCUCUGCUCAGGCUUGGACAACCCCAACCUCAGCAACAUCUUCCUCUACGUUCUUCCACCCAACAUGGCCGACCUCUACAUCACCCGGAACCCGAAGGUCCACUGUUUGGUCACCAACCUUCCGAGCGACUCCGGGUUCCAACUCUUCUGGAUCAAGGAGAAACCAGGUCUCCUCAACCCGGACUUCUUGGACCUCCAAGAGCAGUUCAACGGGACCUACACGGCCACCAGCAGCUUGACCAUCUCCACCCAAGACUGGGAAGCUGGAGAACGUUUCACCUGCAUGGUGAAGCACGAAGACCUCCUGGUGCCCCUCAACAAAAGCAUCUCCAGACGUUCAGGGAAGGUUUCUCCACCUCACGUCUUCGUCCUCUCGCCCAACCCCGACGAGAUGACCCAAACCAAGGUCACCCUCACUUGCUUGGUCUACGGUUUCCAACCCGAGAACGUCGAAGUCCAAUGGUUGAAGAACCAGGAGAACGUCCCCAAGGAGAACUACGUCACCACCCCGCCCCUCAAGGAUGGUCCUAAGGAGAGCACCUUCUUCGUCUACAGCAAGAUGGUGGUCUCCAAGAGCAGCUGGUUGAGCGGGGACACCUACACCUGCAUGGUGGUCCAUGAAGGGUUGCCCAUGAGGUUCACCCAACGACAGGCGCAGAAGGUCCCCGCUCUGGACCUGGCGGCCGGUUUCUGCUCCGAAGACGUCUCCUCUUCUAAAGAACUGGACGGGCUUUGGGCCACCGUCUCCGUCUUCGUCGUCCUCUUCCUCCUCAGCGUUUGCUACAGCGCCACCGUCACCCUCUUCAAGGUCAAGUGGCUCUUCUCCACCGUCCUCCACCUCAAGCAGGUCCCCGGCUCCGCCCACCGCCACGCCCUCAAGGAGCCCGUCUAGGGGCCGCUUGGUUUUUUCCCAAAAACGCCUCUUUUCAC